UACGAAGGGGGCGAGCGUUGUUCGGAUUUACUGGGCGUAAAGGGCGCGCAGGCGGUCAUUUUUGUCGAGUGUGAAAGCCCCGGGCUUAACCUGGGAACUGCAUUGGAAACUAGCGGGCUGGAGUGUGGCAGAGGGGGGUGGAAUUCCACGUGUAGCAGUGAAAUGCGUAGAGAUGUGGAGGAACACCGAUGGCGAAGGCAGCCCCCUGGGCUAACACUGACGCUCAUGCACGAAAGCGUGGGGAGCAAACAGG
rnacentral:rRNA from 1 species